GUCAAAUAUAUUAAAAUUUACGAUGGAUACCUAGGCAUUUAGAGUCGAUGAAGGGCGUGGAUACCAACGAAAUGCUUCGGUUAGUUGGAAACAAACUUUGAUCCGAAGAUUCCCGAAUAGGAAAACCUAUAUAACUACUUAAUGAAUUCAUAAUUAAGUAAGAGACAACCUGCUGAAUUGAAACAUCUUAGUAAGCAGAGGAAAAGAAAGCAAACGCGAUUUCCUUAGUAGCGGCGAGCGAAACGGAAAUAGUCUAAUCAUUGAAAAAAAAAACUAUUAAACGAAGCAGCUGAAUCCUGCACCAUAGAUGGUGAAAGUCCAGUAGUUUAAAAUAGAAAAAAAUGAUUAUAAAGUAGCAUGGAACACGUGAAAUUCCGUGUGAAUAUACGAGGACCACCUCGUAAGACUAAAUACUCCUAAAUGACCGAUAGUGAAACAGUACCGUGAGGGAAAGGUGAAAAAGAACCCCUGUAGGGGAGUGAAAAAGAACAUGAAAUCGUAAAUUGACAAUCAGUGGGAGCUAAAGUGACCGCGUGCCUGUUGAAGAAUGAGCCGGCGACUUAUAGGUAGUGGCCAGGUUAAAAUAACUUUUUGGAGCCAAAGCGAAAGCAAGUCUGAUAAGGGCGUAUGUCACUAUUUAUAGACCCGAACCCGAGUGAUCUAACCAUGGCCAGGAUGAAUCUUGGGUAACACCAAGUGGAAGACCGAACCGACUGAUGUUGAAAAAUCAGCGGAUGAGCUGUGGUUAGGGGUGAAAUUCCAGUCGAACUCGGAGCUAGCUGGAUCUCCUCGAAAUGUGUUGAGGCGCAGCGGUUGAUGACGGGCUAUUUAGGGGUAAAGCACUGUUUCGGUGCGGGCUGCGAAAGCGGUACCAAAUCGUGGCAAACUAAGAAUACUAAAUAUGCUUUCCAUCAACCAGUAAGACAGUGGGGGAUAAGCUUCAUUGUCAAAAGGGAAACAGCCCAGAUCACCAGUUAAGGCCCCAAAGUGAUGGCUAAGUGAUAAAGGAAGUAAAAAGGCAAAGACAACCAGAAGGUUUGCUUAGAAGCAGCCAUCCUUGAAAGAGUGCGUAAUAGCUCACUGGUAGAGCCUUUUUGCGCCGAAAAUGAACGGGGCUAAGUCAUCCGCCGAAACUGUGGGUUACAGUUAAAAUACUGUUACGGUAGAGGAGCGUUCCGUUAUAGGGUGAAGUUAAAAUGUGAAUUUUAAUGGACGAAACGGAAGUGAGAAUGUCGGCUUGAGUAACGAAAACAUUGGUGAGAAUCCAAUGCCCCGAAAACCUAAGGGUUCCUUCACAAGGUUCGUCCAUGGAGGGUUAGUCAGGACCUAAGGCGAGAUCGAAAGGUGUAGUCGAUGGAAAACAGGUUAAUAUUCCUGUACUUGAUUAGGUUUGGUAAAGAGGGACGGAGAAGGCGGUAACUAGCUAGAUAUUGGUAUUCUAGUAGAAGUAUUGAAUUCUUAAAACAAUGAAAAAAAACUUUGUUUAGAAAACAUGCGACCUGACUGGAACUUUAUUAUAUAAAGUUUCGGUUUAGUUUUAGUCAUACUUCCAAGAAAAGCUCUUAUUACCAUUAAAUUUAAUCAACCUGUACCCUAAACUGACACAAGUAGGUAGGUAGAGAAUACUAAGGGGCGCGAGAUAACUCUCUCUAAGGAACUCGGCAAAAUGGCCCCGUAACUUCGGGAGAAGGGGUGCCUAUAUUAUAUAGGCCGCAGUGACCAGGCCCAGGCGACUGUUUAUCAAAAACACAGGUCUCCGCAAAGUCGUAAGACAAUGUAUGGGGGCUGACGUCUGCCCAGUGCCGGAAGGUAAAAGAAGUUGGUUAUUCCUCGGAAAAAGCUGACGACUGAAGCCCCGGUGAACGGCGGCUGUAACUCUGACAGUCCUAAGGUUAAUACACGAUAUUACGCUAAAUCGCUAGCCUUAGUAAAACCGAACUAAAUGCUGGAAACUCCCCAAAAACAUAACUCUACUCGACUUUUAUAUUACAACAAUAUCGGGACUAACUUUUCGAGGUUAACUCUUGGAGACGUGUUAAAAGUAAGUCAGUAAUAAUGAGAAUGGCACGAGGACAAUCAGCAGGAAAGACUAAUAUACAAUUAGAAUCCUCAGAGACUAUACGUUUGGAGAUAUAAAAACAAAUAAAACUAUGACACAAUUAGAAUCACAAUGGAUUGUUGGGUUUGUAGAUGGAGAAGGGUGUUUUUUUAUAGGACUAAAUAAAAAUCCAGAAAUGACACUUGGAAUUCAAGUUUUACCAGAAUUUUCUGUUGUUCAGCAUAAACGUGAUGAACAAAUACUAUACGCUUUAAAAGAUUUUUGGAAAUUUGGUGUUGUAAGAAAAAACCACGGUGAUCGAUUAUGUUAUCGAGUUCGAGGUGUUGAACAUUUAAAUAAAACCAUUAUACCUUUUUUUGAAAAGCACAGUUUAAAAACAAAGAAAAAGGUAGAUUUUUUAAAGUUUCGAAAAGUUUUACAAUUAAUUGAAAGCAAAAAACAUUUAACUGUUGAAGGCUUACUUAAAAUUGAUUCUCUUCGACUUGAAAUGAACACAGGCAAAUCAAAGAAAAAACUCAUUCUAAUUGAUGGUAAAUUAGAUUUAAUUGAUAUCUAAGAUAGAGUCCAGCCUUUCUUGAAAAAGUUAGGAUAUAACUGAGCGAAAUUCCUUGUCGAGUAAGUUUCGACCCGCACGAAAGACGUAACGAUCUGGGCACUGUCUCGGAGAGAGACUCGGUGAAAUAGAAAUGUCUGUGAAGAUGCGGACUACUUAUACCAGGACAGAAAGACCCUAUGAAGCUUGACUGUAAUUUGGAAUUGGAUUCGGGCUUUUUUUGCGCAGUCUAGGUGGGAGGCGUUGAUAUUAAGUUUUCGGACUUAAUUGAGCCAUCAGUGAGAGACCACUCUAAAAGAGCUAGAAUUCUAAUAGGAUUCCUUGAAUCAGGAUCCUUGACAGUUUCAGAUGGACAGUUUGACUGGGGCGGUGACCUCCCAAAAGGUAACGGAGGUGUGCAAAGGUUCCCUCAAGCUGGACGGAAAUCAGCUGUAGAGUGCAAAGGUAUAAGGGAGCUUGACUGCAAGACCAACAAGUCGAGCAGAGGCGAAAGCCGGCCUUAGUGAUCCGACGGUUCCGAGUGGAAGGGCCGUCGCUCAACGGAUAAAAGUUACUCUAGGGAUAACAGGCUGAUCUCCCCCAAGAGUUCACAUCGACGGGGAGGUUUGGCACCUCGAUGUCGUUUCAUCGCAACCUGGGGCUGGAGUAGGUCCCAAGGGUUGGGCUGUUCGCCCAUAAAAGCGGUACGUGAGAUGGGUUCAGAACGUCGCGAGACAGUUCGGUCCAUAUCCGGUAUAAGCGCAAGAGCAUUGAGAGGAUCUCAACAUUGUACGAGAGGACCCGAAGGGACGUACCGAUGGUGUACCAGUUCUUAUGCCAAUAGGAAACGCUGGGUAGCUAUGUACGGAGUGGAUAAUCGCUGAAAGCAUUUAAGUGAGAAGCCCACCUCAAGAUGAAUGCUCUCUAUUAGAUCGCGGCAAGACAAGCCGAUAGAUUGGCAUCAAGUGUAAGAUUAGUAAUAAUUUCAGCUGAGAUGUACAAAGGAUCGAUUGAUUUUGAC
rnacentral:rRNA from 1 species